GGGGUCCUUUUGCUAGCCACGGAGACAUGAACAUGUUUAUGAAGUUUCCUACCCUGACCACGUUUGGUACCCUCUUUGAAUUAUUCCUUAGAGACACAAGACCCAGAGGCAGGGAGUAACACUGGGAAAGACGUUCUUCUUUUAAUGGUAAAAACUUUAUUUACUAUUUAUAAAUACAUUGCAAGACAAACUUUUCAAAAAUACUUUUUUUCCCCAAAAACUUAAAAAAAUAGGUAGGCAGAACAUCUCGAGAGCCCUUGUAGUUAUCAAGGGAGCUCCACGCAGUGGGUCCACCCUGGGACCUCAGGCCUGGCCUUGGGGACCACGGGUGGCAACGGCAUGAGCUCCUUUCCUCGGUCACGGCCACGGUUGGUUAUAUCAUCUAGCAUCUCUACCAUUUUCUCUAGGAUUAUCUAGUGUAGAUCCUAUUAUAUUUGGGCUAUGUGGUAUACACUGUUAACAAUUAAUUAAGAACACAUCUCCGUAUAUAUGUAUGAGUGGUAAGGAGUGUGUGUGAGAAGAAUUCCAAGUUCAACCAACACAGGUCAGAGAUCUCUAAGUGUCCCAGUGUCCUCGACAGGCUCCCAGCAAGCUGGUCAUCUUUCCUGUUUAGAUUUUUGUUUUUUCUUUUACAUUGUGCAAAGCAGGAUACAGGUAAGAGAUGAAAAUAAAAUUUUGCUUUAAAGAGCUUAACCUCAAAAAUCUUGUUUUGAGGAGUUGAACUAGAAAACACUACUUUCUGCAGUCAUCUGAAGAAUCGUUGCUCAAAAGGCCUCUCAACGCCAAGGCUGAUUGCUGCCCCUGCCUCUCCUGCCCCGUGGGACCAAGGCCUAGGUGACCCCAGCCACCCAGCCUUCCAAAGGGGCUGUCAUGAGGAGGACCCCAGAUGCAGGGUCACCCACACCUGCCGACAGGUUCCUGGGCAUCCUGCUGUUAAGACUGCAUCUUAAUCUCUCCAGUAGUUUCCAAAGUAGAUUAGGUCAUCUCCAGAUGAUGGACAGUCUUUAUGGUCGAGACCCAGGCUCCUGAUUCGAAGAGGUCCCCCUCGGGUUAUGUUGGCAGGCGGUGUCAGGACGUCCAGGUGACUGGAGUUGAGGCUUUUCCUAUUCUCCUAGGCCUGUGCUCAUUUUACAGAGGGUGGGGGAGAAGCUCAUUUGCUGACGUCUCGAGGUGGGAGGGUCGGGCUGGGUCGGGUUGUCCCCUUAGCGGAUGAGGGCCUGGGAGGGGAGCCGUCCGUGGAGCGAGGUUUACAGGUAGCAACUAGAAAAUUCGAACUGCUUUUCGCUAAUUACUGGAAAGAUCUCAAGUUUACCACUUAAAGGAACCAUAGGGAUUUCAAAAAUCUGUCUAAACUUUGGUUUUUUUAAAAAAUCAGUUCACCACAAAAAGAAAUAUAAAUCGAGGCUGUAGCCAGCUGCUGAGCAUGUCCUUGGCAGUCUUUUGUGCAAAAUAAGGCGUAUUUGAGCUCCACAUUAGCUAGAACAAAAAGAAAAGAAAAACAUUGAAAUAACCACCCAGAAAAUGAAGAGUUCAACUUCUGCCCUAGUGCUGGGCUGGGCUCUCUACCUUUUUCUCCCCGUUUUUAUUUCUUAUUGGUAGUCCACAGUGAUUAUACCCCCCUGCGUAGUAGAGUUGGUCCAUGUAGAGAACACAUCUUCAUUCUUCUUUCCAUCCCCUUUCCCUCUCUUCCCUUCAUCUCUUGAUCCCCUUCCCAUUUGAAAAGUAUCUUCCUAUUUUCUAUUAGCUAUCUUUUAUUUAUAUUUUGGGUUUCUCAUAGAAAUCAUGGGAUAUUGAAGCUUAUUGUGUGUCUGGUUAAUUUCACUAAAUAUUAUGGUCUCAAGGUGCAUCCAUUUGCCUAUGAAUGACUCAAGUUUAUUCUUUAUGGCAGAGUAGUACUCCAUUAUGUAUAAUACCACAUUUUCUUUACCCAUUCAUCUGCUGAUAGAUAUAUAGGCUGUUCCCAAAAUUUGGCUAUUAUAAAUCAUACUGUUAUAAACAGAACUUCCAUUUGAUCCAGCUGCUCUCCUCCUAGGUAUCUUCCCAAGAGUUAAAAACAUGAUAAAUCAAAGCUAAGUGUUUAUUGUUAAAAGGCUACCCUAAAAUUAAAACUAUUUUCCCUAACUUGUGAGGAAAAGAAUCUUCUAAAAAUGAAAAUUUC
ensembl:lncRNA